rnacentral:rRNA from 1 species
UCCGGUUGAUCCCGCCGGAGGUUACUGCUAUCGGUGUUCGCCUAAGCCAUGCGAGUCAUAUGUUCUUCGUGAACAUGGCGUACUGCUCAGUAACACGUGGAUAACCUGCCCUUGGGUCCGGCAUAACCCCGGGAAACUGGGGGUAAUUCCGGAUAACGCACAUAUGCUGGAAUGCUUUAUGCGUAAAAUGGAUUCGUCUGCCCAAGGAUGGGUCUGCGGCCUAUCAGGUAGUAGUGGGUGUAAUGUACCUACUAGCCAACAACGGGUACGGGUUGUGAGAGCAAGAGCCCGGAGAUGGAUUCUGAGACAUGAAUCCAGGCCCUACGGGGCGCAGCAGGCGCGAAAACUUUACAAUGCGGGAAACCGUGAUAAGGGGACACCGAGUGCCAGCGUCAUACGCUGGCUGUCCGGGUGUGUAAAAUACACCUGUUAGCAAGGGCCGGGCAAGACCGGUGCCAGCCGCCGCGGUAACACCGGCGGCCCGAGUGGUGAUCGUGAUUAUUGGGUCUAAAGGGUCCGUAGCCGGUUUGGUCAGUCCUCCGGGAAAUCUGAUAGCUUAACUAUUAGGCUUUCGGGGGAUACUGCCAGACUUGGAACCGGGAGAGGUAAGAGGUACUACAGGGGUAGGAGUGAAAUCUUGUAAUCCCUGUGGGACCACCUGUGGCGAAGGCGUCUUACCAGAACGGGUUCGACGGUGAGGGACGAAAGCUGGGGGCACGAACCGGAUUAGAUACCCGGGUAGUCCCAGCCGUAAACGAUGCUCGCUAGGUGUCAGGCAUGGCGCGACCGUGUCUGGUGCCGCAGGGAAGCCGUGAAGCGAGCCACCUGGGAAGUACGGCCGCAAGGCUGAAACUUAAAGGAAUUGGCGGGGGAGCACCACAACAGGUGGAGCCUGCGGUUUAAUUGGAUUCAACGCCGGACAUCUCACCGGAUAAGACAGCUGAAUGAUUGUCAAUCUGAAGGUUUUACAUGACUAGCUGAGAGGAGGUGCAUGGCCGUCGUCAGUUCGUACUGUGAAGCAUCCUGUUAAGUCAGGCAACGAGCGAGACCCA